rnacentral:rRNA from 1 species
GACGAACGCUGGCGGCGUGCUUAACACAUGCAAGUCGAACGGUGAAGCGCCUUCCUUUUUGGUGGGUGUGGAUGAGUGGCGAACGGGUGAGUAACACGUGAGUAACCUGCCCCCUUCUUCUGGAUAACCGCAUGAAAGUGUGGCUAAUACGGGAUAUUCUGGGUCUGUCGCAUGAUGGGUCUGGGAAAGAUAUUGUUUCGGUGGGGGAUGGGCUCGCGGCCUAUCAGCUUGUUGGUGGGGUGAUGGCCUACCAAGGCGGUGACGGGUAGCCGGCCUGAGAGGGUGGACGGUCCCACUGGGACUGAGACCCCGCCCCGACUCCUACGGGAGGCAGCAGUGGGGAAUAUUGCACAAUGGGCGCCAGCCUGAUGCAGCGACGCCGCGUGGGGGAUGGAGGCCUUCGGGUUGUGAACCUCUUUCGCCAGUGAAGCAGGCCUGCCUCGUUUGUGGGUGGGUUGACGGUAGCUGGAUAAGAAGCGCCGGCUAACUACGUG